rnacentral:rRNA from 1 species
GACGAACGCUGGCGGCGCGCUUAACACAUGCAAGUCGAACGGAAAGGCCUGCUUUCCCUUGUGGAUUGCGGGUACUCGAGUGGCGAACGGGUGAGUAACACGUGAGUGAUCUGCCCCCAACUUGGGUAUAAGCCUGGGAAACUGGGUCUAAUUCCCGAUAGGACUGCAGGGUGGUGCCUGUGGUGGAAAACGAUUUUCUAGUGGUUGGGGAUGAGCUCGCGGCCUAUCAGCUUGUUGGUGGGGUAAUGGCCUACCAAGGCGGCGACGGGUAGCCGGCCUGAGAGGGUGGACGGCCACAUUGGGACUGAGAUACGGCCCAGACUCCUACGGGAGGCAGCAGUGGGGAAUAUUGCACAAGGGGCGGAAGCCUGAUGCAGCGACGCCGCGUGGGGGAUGACGGCCUUCGGGUUGUAAACUCCUUCCGACCGCGAGGAAGCCACCUGGUUGGAAGGGUGGUGACGGUAGUGGUAGAAGAAGCACCGGCUAACUACGUG